rnacentral:rRNA from 1 species
AUACGUAGGGGACGAGCGUUGUCCGGAAUUACUGGGCGUAAAGGGCGCGCAGGCGGAUAUUUAAGUCAGCUGUAAAAGGCAUGAGCUCAACCCAUGUAUGCGGUUGAAACUGGGUAUCUAGAGUGCUGGAGAGGUAGGCGGAAUUCCCGGUGUAGCGGGGAAAUGCGUAGAUAUCGGGAAGAACACCAGUGGCGAAGGCGGCUUACUGGCCAGCAACUGACGCUGAGGCGCGAAAGCCAGGGGAGCGAACGGGAUUAGAUACCCCGGUAGUCCUGGCCGUAAACGAUGAAUGCUAGGUGUGGGUGUCGAGAGGCAUCCGUGCCGGAGUUAACGCGAUAAGCAUUCCGCCUGGGGAGUACGAUCGCAAGAUUGAAACUCAAAUGAAUUGACGGGG